rnacentral:rRNA from 1 species
UAGUCCACGCUGUAAACGAUGAUCACUCGAUAUUGGCUUCGGUCAGUGUCCUAGCGAAAGUGAUAAGUAUCCCACCUGGGGAGUACGUUCGCAAGAAUGAAACUCAAAGGAAUUGACGGGGGCCCGCACAAGCGGUGGAGCAUGUGGUUUAAUUCGAUGAUACGCGAGGAACCUUACCAGGGCUUAAAUGCAUAAUGACAGGGCCAGAGAUGGCUUUUCCUUCGGGCAUUUUGCAAGGUGCUGCAUGGUUGUCGUCAGCUCGUGCCGUGAGGUGUCAGGUUAAGUCCGGUAACGAGCGCAACCCUUAUUGAUAGUUGCCAUCAUUCAGUUGGGCACUCUAUUGAGACUGCCGGUGAUAAGCCGGAGGAAGGCGGGGACGACGUCAAGUCAUCAUGGCCCUUACGUGUAGGGGCUACAAACGUGCUACAAUGGGCAGUGACAAU